rnacentral:rRNA from 1 species
AUUGAACGCUGUCGGCAGGCCUAACACAUGCAAGUCGAGCGGAGCGUCGGUCGGGUGCGUAAUGACUUGGAAUCAGCCAGGUAGUGCGGGAAAACGUCCGGAAACGGGCGCUAAUUCCGCAUAAUAUCAGAUGAGCCUAGGUCCGAUUAGCUGGUUGGUGGGGUAAAAGCCUACCAAGGCGACGAUCCGUAACUGGUCUGAAAGGAUGAUCAGUCAAACUGGAACUGAGACACGGUCCAGACUCCUCCGGGAGGCAGCAGUUGGGAAUAUUGGACAAUGGGCGAAAGCCUGAUCCAGCCAUGCCGCGUGUGUGAAGAAGGUCUUCGGAUUGUAAAGCACUUUAAGUUGGAAGGCGUUACCAACAGAAUAAGCACCGGCUAACAUCGUGCCAGCCGCCGCGGUAAUUC